GACGAACCGUGCGAGCGUUAUUCGGAAUCACUGGGCUUAAAGCGCGUGUAGGCGGGAGGGCACGUCCGUCGCUGAAAUCCCCCGGCUCAACCGGGGAACGGGCGCGGAUACGACCUUCCUGGAGGGGCGUAGGGGGACCUGGAACUUCCGGUGGAGCGGUGAAAUGCGUUGAGAUCGGAAGGAACGCCCGUGGCGAAAGCGAGGUCCUGGACGCCUGCUGACGCUGAGACGCGAAAGCCAGGGGAGCGAACGGG
rnacentral:rRNA from 1 species